rnacentral:rRNA from 1 species
UCCAUGCCGUAAACGUUGUAUACUAGAUGUGGGGGGAUUAAGCCCCCUCCGUGUCCAAGCUAACGCGAUAAGUAUACCGCCUGGGGACUACGGCCGCAAGGCUAAAACUCAAAGGAAUUGACGGGGACCCGCACAAGCGGUGGAGCAUGUGGCUUAAUUCGAGGCAACGCGAAGAACCUUACCUGGGUUUGACAUGUUUAGGACCGCCCCAGAGAUGGGGCUUCCCCUUCGGG